CACCUGGUUGAUCCUGCCAGUAGUCAUAUGCUUGUCUCAAAGAUUAAGCCAUGCAUGUCUAAGUAUAAGCUUUAAACGGCGAAACUGCGAAUGGCUCAUUAAAACAGUUAUAGUUUAUUUGGUGAUCGAUUACUAUUUGGAUAACCGUAGUAAUUCUAGAGCUAAUACAUGCGUCAAGGCCCGACUUCGGAAGGCUGCGUUUAUUAGAUACAGAACCAACCUAGCUCCGCCUAGUCCUUGUUGGUGAUCAUAUAACCCGGCGAUCGCACGGCUUGUCCGCGAUGGACAUUCAGUUCUGACUAUCAGCUAUGGACGUAGGUAU
rnacentral:ncRNA from 1 species